rnacentral:rRNA from 1 species
GAGUUUGAUCUUGGCUCAGAACGAACGCUGGCGGCAUGCCUAACACAUGCAAGUCGAACGAGAUCUUCGGAUCUAGUGGCGCACGGGUGCAUAACGCGUGGGAAUCUGCCCUUGGGUGCGGAAUAACUUCUCGAAAGGGAUGCUAAUACCGCAUAAUGUCGUAAGACCAAAGAUUUAUCGCCCAAGGAUGAGCCCGCGUAAGAGUUAGCUAGUUGGUGGGGUAAAAAGCCUACCAAGGCGACGAUCUUUAGCUGGUCUGAGAGGAUGAUCAGCCACACUGGGACUGAGACACGGCCCAGACUCCUACGGGAGGCAGCAGUGGGGAAUAUUGGACAAUGGGCGAAAGCCUGAUCCAGCAAUGCCGCGUGAGUGAUGAAGG